GUAAAUGUAGUUUUAAGAAAAACAUUAGGUUGUGGUCCUAGAAAUAAGAGUUAAAUUCUCUUCAUUUACC